rnacentral:lncRNA from 1 species
GAAUGUUCCUAGCUCUGUCCCUGUCAUCAGAAAUGAUAUUGAAUGGCUCAGUACUAGGGGAUCUGGAACUAUUUCUACAGCUUUCUCACCUCAUUUGGAAUUUUCUUGUCUUGCUAAUUUUAAUUCUUUAGUUGAGUCAUCAAUUCAAAUUUGGUAGGGACUGGCAUCACCCAGUUGGUCGACUUGGGAGAAAUAUCGUUCAUGAAGAUGAUCAGACUGCACCAAAUUCCACCCCCACCCCUCACAUAUACAGAGAUCCGAGCGGCUGUGGUGUGAGUGCACGUGUGUGUUUGUGUGUGUGUGUGUGUGUGUGUGUGUGUGUUAUGCAAAAGGGUCUCUCUGCUGCUUUCUCUUUUGUCACUGAGUCUCCAAAUUGUGUAACUGAAACUGCAAGGAAGACCGUUUUCCUGAAGAUGCUGAGAGCUCUGUUUUGAAGACACACACAUAUCCGUGAGUUUGAAUUCAGUGGUCUAUUGACCAUCCAUCUGCCCUUUGUAGAGAACAGACAAGGAAAAUAAAGAGAGUUAAAGUGGUUCAAAUGAGGGACUCAGAAAGGAAUUUUCAGUUCCGACUCUGGCUGUCAGCUGCUGUCAUUGAGACCGAGCAACAAUGAGGUGUCUGGUGAUAGGAAAUGGGGAGGACUAGGGAUGGAGGCAGUAAUGAUCACCUUCCUAACAAGGGUUUUAUGAGGCUGUGAGGAUUAAUUAGUUUGUAUCCUUAAGCAGUUUGAGAAAGAUGAAGUUUCAGUAAAUGCUAAGCUGGAGUUGUAGACAUCUGACUCAGUAGAGAGGUCUCCCCCACCCCCAAUCCCAGGCUUUGAAAACUCCUAUCUGUGCUGUGAUGCACUACAAAGGAAGUGAGGGGGAAGCAAGCACUCACUUAUGGAAGAACAGAGAAGGAGAGAGAGACAUGAGUCAGGCUAGCAUCCCUCCAACAGGCUCGGCUAAUGAGGAUGCUGCAAUGGGGGCGCUUACCAAAAAAUAAAAAUAAAAACCAGCCAACACCUUGUUUCAGAUAUGCCUUCCAGAGCUAGGAAAGAGAGCUCUGGGGGAGCUCAUCUGUUGUUUUGUAGUUUUAGAAACAGCCACGGAUGCUUUCGAGUGAAUUCAACAAAGGUAGUUUGUAUCCUGGAAAACACGAACAAUUAGAGACUGAAGAGUGAGGACGCCUGUUUGGGGACCGGUUUGGUAUUGUACCCAGACCACACAUUCCGGCUGGGAAGGAACACAGUAAUGUAUAAAGCAUUAGUGGAUUUAACGCUCUGCAUUGUGCUUGGGGAAUCGAAUUGUUGAUGUUUCUGGCAAGAACUCAUACUCCAAUUGAAAUCUAUCAAACACCUUAAUUAGCUCCGGGUACCUAAAUGCACCCAACCAAGAGGCAAGUUGGAAAGCAGCAGAAGGAAAGGGCAGGAGCUGGCACAGAGGUGUCAUGGGCCUCCCUGGGUACCUUCAGCACCCUGUGGCCUCACUUUCCAGACCGGAAUACAUGGGCCAUGGUGGAAAGUCAGACAACUUGCAGCUCUCACUGCAGCAGCCACAGGGAUGUGAUUGAAGGUGUUUGGAUGGUUUGACCAGUGUUGGCUAAGGGGAUGAGAAGAGGCCGCAGUGACACAAAGCUGUUGCCGAUAAUAACUGGAGCCUUUUUCUGAGCCAACCGUUCCACCUGGACCUCAGUACAAAUUAUUGUUUUCAAUUACCACCUGUGUAUUCCUUCCCAUGCAACUUAUUGAUGUAAAAUUACAGCUACACCGGUAUAAAUAAGUUAUGCUGCAGUUGUAAAAUGGAAGAAAUUUUGUUGUAGCAAUUAUGUUCAGCAAGAUGACAAAAUAAAUUUCCAGAGCUGUGCCUGCAGUAACCUGGGGAAUUUAAACCUCAUAAUUUCCAUUCAUUUCAGAUAAUUUGGAGUAAUUUCUAUAUGUAAUAACUUUGUAAUGAAAAACACAGCGGUACUGAAGUGAUUUCGCUCCGUUUUUUUCUCCUAUGGUAUACAUGGCACAAAAUAAAUGAUAAAAAUAAUAUUUCCUUUUUAUAUGUGUGUGUGUUGAGUAAUUCCUUCAGUAAAAAUCAUAAACUAAUACCCAGACUAAAUCUCUGUCCACAAAAUGAAAAAUAAAUUGAGUUAAAGAAA